rnacentral:rRNA from 1 species
AGAGUUUGAUCAUGGCUCAGGAUGAACGCUAGCGACAGGCUUAACACAUGCAAGUCGAGGGGCAGCAUAAAGUAGCAAUACUUGGUGGCGACCGGCGCACGGGUGAGUAACGCGUAUGCAACCUACCUAUCAGAGGGGAAUAACCCGGCGAAAGUCGGACUAAUACCGCAUAAAACAGGGGCACCGCAUGGUGAUAUUUGUUAAGAAAUUCGCUGAUAGAUGGGCAUGCGUUCCAUUAGGUAGUUGGUGAGGUAACGGCUCACCAAGCCGACGAUGGAUAGGGGAACUGAGAGGUUGGUCCCCCACACUGGUACUGAGACACGGACCAGACUCCUACGGGAGGCAGCAGUGAGGAAUAUUGGUCAAUGGGCGGGAGCCUGAACCAGCCAAGUCGCCGUGAAGGAAGAAGGAUCUAUGGUUCGUAAACUUCUUUUGCAGGGGAAUAAAGUGCAGGACGUGUCCUGUUUUGUAUGUACCCUGAGAAUAAGGAUCGGCUAACUCCGUGCCAGCCGCCGC